UUGAAGACUGGCCUUGUCAUGAGUGAGCAGCGGCAGUGGAGCCGGGACUUGGUUGCUCUCUUCUGCUAAACUUUCUUGCCCUUCUGCUUCAGCGGUGGAUGAUACAUGCAUGAGAAAGCCCUGUUGACUGCAGGCCCUUUGCCCUUGGGCUCCCCAGAACUUGGAGCCCUCAUGCCAGCACAGUGUAAGAGGCAGAUGGAGGAAGGCAGCUGCUCACAUUUGCCGAGGAGAAGCCCGCCCUGUGAUUCGGAUGGCAUGAAGGAAGACCAAGGCAGCAAAAGCGCCCAAGCUGCAGGGCUGACCUCUGCAUAAGCCCGGCGACUGUGCGGCCGCCUCCAUAACACAUGUGAGACAGGAGCCUGGAGUCUGGACAGUGCCCUGGGCUUCAGGGAUGUCAGCAGCCUCAUACAAGUCAGCACCCGGCAGGACUGCAGAGAUGGCUCUGUUGGUAAAGCGCUUGCCAUGGGAGCAGCAGAACCCGGGAGCGAGGUCAGUCCCAACCAUCCAUGGAACAGGCAGAUGUGGAGUUCUGUGCCUGUGAUCCAAGGACUGGGGAGGCAGAGAUAGGGCAGUCCAGGGCUUGCUGGCCAGCCAACCUAGACCAAUCCAAGAGCUCCAGGUUUGCCUCAGAAAUAAAGUGGAGAGCCAGCGAGGAAGACUCAGCCAUCUAACUGGGCUCCACAGCACAUAGGCAUAUAUGCACAUGCCCUCGCAUGCUGGGCUUCAAAGCCAGGGCACAGCACAUGCAGGUAAGCGCUGGGCCGCUGGCUCACUCCCAAGCCAUGUUCAGGCCCUGUGAGCACCCAAGGUGGCUGCUGGAGGCCCAGCGAGGGCCCAGCAGCUGUGACGUGUCAAGCCUGGGCUGCUCUGACUCCUGCAGAUAGUCAAGUCAAGGCUAAGUCCCUGGAGAGCCCGCUUUGCCACUGUGAGGUGAGGUGAUGCGCCCUCGGCUUAUUUUGCCUGGUUUUUCCCUCCCUCGGAAAGUUCCAGUGAGGUCUUAUUUCCCGGAUCCACGCCAGGUCAUGCUGCCUCGGCAGCUGCGACCCCUCGCUUUGGAUCUGAGUGUGCUCUGGCCACAUGAGCACUGCAGCUGCCUUCCUCACUGGGCAGUGCGGUCAGGGUGGAAGUCAGGCCUCCACCGCAUGAAGGCAGGAGGUCGCAGCCUGGCUCUCAGCCACAGGGACAGUCCCCACUACAAGUCCCCGUGUGUGUUUACAGACUUAUUUUUAUUUUUGAUGUGUAUGAAUGUUUUGCCUUCAGGUAUGUAAAUGUACCACAGAAGCGCCUAUGUUCCUGGAGGCCAGAGAGGGUGUCUGGUCCCCUGGAGCUGGGCUUGUAAGAGGUUGGGAACCUUUGCGUGGGUGCUGGGAACUGAACCCCUGUCCUCUGCAAGAGCAGCUAGCGCUUAACCACCAAGCCGUCUCUCCAGGCUCAUGAUUUUCUAUCCCCCUCCUUGCUGCCUCUUCUCUCUA